AAGGGCCUAAAUGAUUUAACAAAAUAUAGAUUAGUUAUAUUCUGUCCUUGUACCUAACUGUCUCGGUAAAUAUGUUUUUCAAUAAACCAAUCAAUCAUUUUAUCAAACAAUCAAUCAUUCAUCUAUUCCGUCAUCCUAUCUUUCUAUCAGGCAUUCAUAGUAAUAAUAAUAAUAAUAAUGUAUUCAAGUAGUAGUAUGAUGGUCUAGGAACAGGAAAUGAAGUGAUGUCUUUCUUCAAAAACCGGACAGAUAGAAUAAGGUAUAAAUGAAUCUUCAUCUACGAUAACUUUUGAGGAGCUAAAUGAGCUUUGUGCAGGAUCAUUUACAGCGGAUAUUGCUGAAUGUCUUAAAAAAGACAUAAGGUAGGUUUUAGACGACUAUUGGGCGUACCUUAUUAUGUUUCUCUUCAUUUUUUUUCUUUCUAUUUUGUAGAUGGAAGCAGGUUCAGAAUCCUUAUACAGAUCUGGAAACGAACAACAACAAUUGUAGUGUUAAUCCUAACUUUGUGAGAGGAUAUGUUCUCAGACAACAAGGUUAUCCCCAAGGGGGAAUUUUGUUGGGCGACAUCUGGGGAAGGCUGAACCCGUACCAGAAUAUUAGAGCCGAAUCUUGGGUCUCGUGCAAUCUCCUUAUAAUUCCAG